rnacentral:rRNA from 4 species
AAAUUGAAGAGUUUGAUCAUGGCUCAGAUUGAACGCUGGCGGCAGGCCUAACACAUGCAAGUCGAACGGUAACAGGAAGCAGCUUGCUGCUUCGCUGACGAGUGGCGGACGGGUGAGUAAUGUCUGGGAAACUGCCUGAUGGAGGGGGAUAACUACUGGAAACGGUGGCUAAUACCGCAUAACGUCGCAAGACCAAAGAGGGGGACCUUCGGGCCUCUUGCCAUCAGAUGUGCCCAGAUGGGAUUAGCUUGUUGGUGAGGUAACGGCUCACCAAGGCGACGAUCCCUAGCUGGUCUGAGAGGAUGACCAGCCACACUGGAACUGAGACACGGUCCAGACUCCUACGGGAGGCAGCAGUGGGGAAUAUUGCACAAUGGGCGCAAGCCUGAUGCAGCCAUGCCGCGUGUAUGAAGAAGGCCUUCGGGUUGUAAAGUACUUUCAGCGGGG